rnacentral:lncRNA from 1 species
UGAGCUCUCCAGAGUGCAUGAAGGCCUCUCCACAGCGGCCCUGACUAGAGGUGUGGAGGAGCUGCUUGCAGCCCUAUUUGUAAGGCUGUGUCUGCUCAGAGCCCUAGACUGUUAGCCCCAUACAAGGACAAAUACUAAUUAAUGUGUUUUGUUUUGGUUUUUUUUUUUUUUCUUUUUCUUUUUUUCGGAGCUGGGGACCGAACCCAGGGCCUUGCGCUUGCUAGGCAAGAGCUCUACCACUGAGCUAAAUCCCCAACCCUAAUGUCUUUUGUUUUAAGGCAUUAUUUCCAUAUGAAUGUGGGAAAUGCAGGAUUUGUUAUAUGAAUUGUUCUCUGUGUGUUCACACAUAUUCACUCACUCAUUAGCAAACACUGGGCAGUGCCCUUUCCCACUGCUCUUUUAUAAUUAGCUAUAAAUAAUUUGUUUGGACUAUUUAUUUCUGAAAAGAAUGUUAAUCAAACUGCCACUCCCUGCUUCUGAGAGAUGUCAGCAGGGGGAGGAAGGAGGUGUUUGCCAGCUUCUCUAGUGCUGGGAACUUAACGCACAGUUAAGGUUCUCCUUUAAGACUUGGAAAUGCCAGAAGAAAUGAUGAUGCUCUGUUGUAGGGGUCUGGCUGCCUUUAGAGAGUCUGAUGCUAUGACACGGGCACAGUUCGUGGAAAGUGGCCA